rnacentral:sRNA from 1 species
GAAUACCGAGAUCGAGGUCAUCGACGGGGACCGCCGCACCAA